rnacentral:lncRNA from 1 species
CCUUCACAUCUUUUUUCCCACAAAUUUUACACAGCCAAGCUCGCCGUUACAUCUUUUUACCGUUCAGAAUUCUCCUUUCUCCCUUUCAGUUUUCCAUUCUCAUUCGCUAAUCAGUCUUUAUCGUUAAUCAAUUUCGUCAAUAAUCAGCGCCCAAUCAGCUCCAAUUAGAAGCCUAUAGUCAGUCCACACUUCCAUUCUCAUCACUGUUAAUGAUAUUAACCUGCGUGACUAUCAGUCUAUCAAUUAUCCCUGACAGAGCUAGGGUAGAAAAUUCGGGUGCGCGGCGAUAUUGACCGGCGUUGCUAUUACUCAGCCGUUUCCUCCGACUCCCCACCCCUCCGCUCCCUCGCAGACGCCCUCAGUACAUUCCAGCAGGUAUGCAUCUUAUUUUUUUAAUAAUCGUAUUUUUUUUAUCUUACUUAAUCGAUCUGUUUUGUCUAAUUUAGAAUAAUUAAUUUACGCACCAACAAUUGUUUACUAUGAAUAAAAUUAAGAAUUAUGUUUAUUAUAGUUGCAAUGCAAAUAGUUAAAGAAUAUAAUUUUUUUACAGCAAUUGCGUUGAUUGAUGGUGAGUUGUGUCUAUAUGUUGCCCUCCAUGUGUUGGACGAAUUGUCUUAGAGACAAUUUUAUCAUCCUCAAGCUAUUUCUUUGAGCUUCUCUUUUGUCUUGCUCAAGUCUUAUUUCUUGCAGAGAACAAAUGCAGAUUAUGUGGAGGAAACCACUUUACAAAUUGUAAGUAUCUUUUAGGAAUAUCGAAGCUGUGAAGUUUCUAUUAUCUCAUGGUGCAAAUCAAGACUAUCUUAAAUCAUUAAAAAUUUUGGAUGUGGAAAAGAGUUUGAUUAGUUUUGCAUGUCAAUUUUGCUACUGUAUCCAAUCAUAUUGAUAUAAUCUUGUGAGACUAAUGUACUGUUGAAUGCUCAUAUUUUUUUUUUGAUUUAUUUUUUUGCUGCUCUCUACUUUGCAGCUAAAUGUAAGUUUUUUAGUUAUGGAGUCCCCUCUUAUAUGUGCAAUCAAGGCUCGCUAAUUUGUAUGCAUGGAUGUGCUACUUAAGGUAUGUUGUGUGAUGUAUUAUUUGAAUUUGUAUGUCUAUUUUUUAGAUUGGGGGUUAUUAUGGACACCUUGAAUGGACAUCUUCUUUAUAUAGGAUACCAACUUAGCCUACGUAGCAGCCCUCAAAUCCCAGCGUUCUCAAAAUCCUCGAUUCUCCUUCAUCCUCAAAAUUCCUUAAUAUCUUCUUCAACAUUUCCAUUCUAAUCCCCUCACUCAAAUCUCAGUUGUGUUUCACCACAGUCAAUGGAAAGCGUUUCACCAUAAUCAAUGGAAUUCAAUAAUCAGGUCCUUACCAUCUCCAAAUCAAUGUUUAUAUUAUGAAGGUGGCUGGCUUCUCACAAGAUCUCUGUCAUUUGCCUCUCGAUUCUCCAUUCUCCUUAAUCGUUUCCAUGAACUCUACCUCAAUCACCUCUUGAUUCUCAUUGAUUAAUGCCCCCAAUGAAGGUAAAAAGUCUAACACAAGCUUCUCAAUCGUUAAUUAUACCUAGGGGUGAGCAGAAACCGAACCGAAAUGCAAAACCGAACCGAACCGAACCGUUUUGGUGCGGUUCGGUCCCGAAUCUAUUGGUUCGGUUUUCGGUUCGGUUCCGAAAAUUAAAAACCGAUAAGUUUCGGUUCGGUUUCGGUUUUCAGUUUUUGGUUCGGUUUUAAACCGAACCGAACCGAUAAAUAUUAAUAUUUUAUUAUAUAUUUAUAUUUUAUAAUAUAUAUUCAAUUUUCUAAUUUUUAAUUGGUUUAUAUAUUUAUAUUUUAUUAUAUAUUUAUAUUUUAUAUAUUUUAUAAUAUAUUAAUUGGGUUUUUCAUAAAUUAUAUAUUUAUAUUUUUACAUUAUUUUACAGGUUUUUUAAUUAUUUUUUUUUAGAAAAAAGUUUUUUUUUUUGUCAUUGGUUCGGUAAACCGAACCGAAACCGACGGUUUACGUCUUCUUUUGCUCCAAUUGUCUCGUUCCAAUUACCAUCUUCGGUUUUCGGUUUGGAUUUGCUGAACAACGUCUCACUUAAUUAUACCCUGUCUUUUCAACUAUAAAUUUUUGGNAAAUGGUUUCCACGCAUACCAUCCGAAAUUCUUUUUUUUUGUUUUCCAGGUCAUCUUUGGUUAAUUGGCUCUCAAUUUUUGAGGUUUGUUCUUUCAGAUUUUUGUUGAUUUAAUAUGAUAUUUUCAUCAUUAUUCUGUAAGUUGUUUCGUGUUUUUGAUUUUGUAUUAGCGCUGAGAAAUAUAUAUUGUUGGAGGUGAGUGACAAACACUGGCUGAUAUAUAUAUAGUGGGGAAAAAACUGCAAAAUUCGAGGUGAUAGUUGAGUGGAAUCGCAUAAAAA